GAGAUAAUAAAGGAUAGUAUGGACAUAUUGGAGAAGCACUCAGAAGAGCUACUCAUGGAUUUGCAAUAUUCCAGCACAGAUUGCCAAUGUUGCAUUAAAAUAUUGCCACAGAAGCAUUUCCCUAGACCUAGUGCAGGAUAAACCAAUGAACAACCCCCUCCUCCCCUGUUCCACAUACCUCCUUCUGUGAUAUUUCCACCCAUUUCCUCUGUCUAUUGCCUGUGGCUUGAGCAAGGUUCAUUCAAAUGAAUUUAAAGCAGGGAUAAAUAUUGUCAAUUCAAAUCACGGCUUUUCAGUCUGUCCCCAGGGUUGUCCCCAGGGCAGGCAUCCCUUGCUGAAACAGGUCAUAUUCCCUCUCUAGAUGAGGCUGUUGAGUCACGAAGAAAAGGUGAGGGGUGGCAAGAGAAAGACAGGGAAGGGAAAAAACUAGCAAGCGAACAAACAAUUUGCAGAGCAAGGAGGACAUUUGAGCUCUUGUGUUUCUUUUCUCAUUGUAGUUUAUUCCAAAUCCUGCCACAGCCUUCCUGGAGGAGGGGGAAGGGCAUCGGCUGAUUUGCAUCUUAUGUUACUGCUGACAGUAGGAGGUCUUAAUUGGGGCACCAAAGAGCAGAGAGGAAGCAGCACAAACUCUGCAUCUUGGGAGGAACCUGCAGAAAGGACUGCGAUCUCCGUCAGCCGGCUGAGUGUCCUGUGCAGAGAGAAGAAAAAAAGGAAAGAUCUCACAAAGAGUUUAUCUGAACUUUAUACAUUCUUGUAGUGCUGCUCUGGAACAAGUUCUGCUUUGGUUCACUCAGAGUUCAAUCUUUGGAGACUUAAAGUGCUCACUCAAAUGCACUGAACAAGAGGAAUGCUUCAGCUCCAAUCAGCUCCUGUCUUCUUUGGAAAUGCUGGCCCUGAGGUAUCUUUGAGUCUUUGAAAUCAAUCUUUUAUUCAGCAGGGAAUUUCUGAUGGCUUAGAGGUCUGGUCUGUUAAUUCUGCCUAAUGCCCUGUUUAAGUUUAGGGCAUUUCAACGAGCUGAUGUUUUUGCUUUUACUUUGCUAUGGAACUAAGUGCAUCCCUCUCC
rnacentral:lncRNA from 1 species